CGGUGGUGGGGGGCUGGGAAGCCGGUCGUUUCCUGUUACCCGAAAUCGACCUAUGCGGGAGCCCGUUAACAUUGGCGAGCGGCAACCUCGACCAGGCAGAAGACCCAGUUGUCUACCGUGACAUCCUGCCCCACCAGGUCGGCGGCGUGGGAGCGCUCUCUGAAGGGAGGGUUGCUACCUGCUCACGAUCGAAUCCGGCGAGGCCCGGAAGGGAGCAGUCGUAAGGUCGACGUUCGACGCAGGUGGGAUCCCAGGGUGGAGAAAACAGCUAGGACACCGUGCCUGGAAGAGAUGCCCAUCACCAGAGGACGCCACCA
rfam:Crenarchaeota archaeon 13_1_40CM_3_52_17 13_1_40cm_3_scaffold_12986, whole genome shotgun sequence.